AUAAAAACCUUCUUCCAUCAAGUUCUUAUCAACCUAUAUGAGAAUUUGAGUGUUUUUGAAUUGGUGAGAAUACAAACUGCAUAUUUACAUCUGAGCUCUUUAAAGGUCGUGGUUCAGAUACACAAGCAAAUUAUUGUGCUUUUGCAAGCUGACCUGCCACAGUUGGCUGUGUUUGUUACAAAUGUGAUAUAAUGCAGCACAGAGGCUGAUGCUAUGCUGCAGAAGCUGUUGGAUGCAGUGGAUGAGGAUCGGAAGUCAUCUCCAUAAAACUACUAACUUUGAUAAGCUCCAGACUAAGACACCCAGAUUUAGUGCUCACAUGCAUUCAAGAUUCUGUUACAGGCAAUGUGUGUCUGGACAGUCACAAAGGGAUGGAAUAGAGAAUGUCUUCAGCUGGACCUUUGUCUCUGAGGCAGGGGCGCUGUCAAUAGUCAAUAGAGAGAGGGGGUCACUUGCAAAUAACAUUUUUAUGCCACUUAUCUUGAGCCAAGCUGGGUUGCAAUCUGGCCCAUAAUUUGGAACAAUGCAAGAAUUCACAUAUACCUUCAUGUGGUUUUGAUGAAGCUGAACCUGAUCUGUGGAUCAAGGGUCAUCUGCAGUAAUAACUUUUGCAAGUAAAAUCGGAAGUCCAGAGGCAAACAAGAACAAGGCUCUCCCUUCCUUCUCCCACAUCAUCAGUACUGAGGGAGCUGAAUUGACAUUCCUGUCCUGGCAUGCUCUGAUUUUUAAACCUUCAAAAAGUUUUCAGCUUUCAGUAAAGCAGGGACUGUAGUUGUGAAUAAUUUAGCUGGUGGGUUUUGCACUCAUUCUUGAAUCACUGGCUUUGAGGAAAUCCUGCCAGAAGUCAGUGGAACUGGACUCACACACUGGUGAGGAACCCAG